AAAUUUGAUUUUUAAAGAAAUGAAACCAUUCUGUAGUAUAAAAUUAAGGUAAUUUAUAUGUUAUAUUAAUAUUAGGAAUUAAAAAUAAUUUACUCUUAAUAACACUUACAAAUAUAUAUUAUAUUAAAGAUAAUUAAAUUUUAAAUAAACCAAUUAACGUGCCAGCAGUUGCGGUUAUACUUUAUAUCCAUUCAUAUAAAAAUAUAUUAAAUAUUUUUUAUUUAUAAAAAUUUUAUUUCAAGUAAAAUUGAAUAAAUUUAUAUUAAAAUUAAUAAUAAAUUCAAAACUAAGCUUAAAAUAGGAUUAGAAACCCUAGUAUAUUUAGAUUUAUUUAAGGUAAUAAAUUUAUUAAAAACCUACUUACAACGGCGGCUUUUACUCUUAUUAGAGGAAUCUGUUUUUUAAUCGAAAAUACACGAUAAAUUUAACUUAAUUUAACAAUUUAUAUAUCACCAUCAAGAAUUAAUAUCAAUAAUUAUUCAAAAUAAAAAAUAAAAAGUUAGGUCAAGGUUUAAUCUACAAAUAAGUCAAAUAUGGAUUACAAUAAAAAUAUUUAAGAAAUAAAACUUAAACUUUUUAAGAAAAAGGAUUUAUAAGUAAUUUAAUAAUAUUAUUAUUCCAUGAAUAAGAAUAGCAAAGUGCACAUAUCGCCCGUCACCCUUAUCUCAAGAUAAGGUAAGUCGUAACAUAGUUAAUGUUUUGGAAAAAGUAUUAAG
rnacentral:ncRNA from 1 species